rnacentral:rRNA from 1 species
CUAGAGGUGAAAUCCCAGGGCUCAACCCUGGAACUGCCUUUAAUACUGCUAGUCUUGAGUUCGAGAGAGGUAAGUGGAAUUCCGAGUGUAGAGGUGAAAUUCGUAGAUAUUCGGAGGAACACCAGUGGCGAAGGCGGCUUACUGGCUCGAUACUGACGCUGAGGUGCGAAAGUGUGGGGAGCAAACAGGAUUAGAUACCCUGGUAGUCCACACCGUAAACGAUGAAUGCCAGACGUCAGCAAGUAUACUUGUUGGUGUCACACCUAACGGAUUAAGCAUUCCGCCUGGGGAGUACGGUCGCAAGAUUAAAACUCAAAUGAAUUGACGG